rnacentral:lncRNA from 1 species
AGACAUGCUAGAAACAAGUGCCAGAGUACAUCUAGAGGAGCUGGUUGAAAAUCUUAUAGAAGACAAACUUCAGGAGAAGUUUGAAGUUAAGGAUAGCCUUCUGCAGACAUUCAUUUCAUUCCUGACAUUUAAACAAAAUUCUGAUCAUCAGUCCUUGGAAGUGUUAUAUCAACUGUUCCAAAAGAAUUAUAGGCAAAGUUUGUCAGCAGAGUCUAGAUUCUUUGACCUGUUUGAACAUGUUAAUAUCAGAUAAUAUACUGAAGCCUACUGUGAAAGUGUGGGAUCCCUCAUGAAUAUACUAGUUAAUAAGGAAGAAACCUCACAUCAAGCUUUUUCUCAAGAGAGCUUAUCAUAGCUUUAAAUGCUCCUCCUCUUCAUAUCUUAAAGAAAAAAAAUCAUCACUAAAAUCAGGGAUGAGUUUAUGAAGAAGAUGAUCUUUGUAAGAAAGAUGGACAACGCCAGACUUUCCAGACAGUGCUCCAAACUGAAGUUUGCAGAUCUAUCUCUUGGACAGCUACGGAAGAACCAAGAAAAUCAGUCUCAUGUCCCUGUAGACUUUUUUACUGUUUAAUUAAGUAAGAAUAAGUAAAUUUUUUUAGAUGAUACUUUAAUAAAUCUAAGAAGAGUUUAAUCUAUGUAUUUUGAGUUGUCGAGUUUGGGGAAGGAAUUCAAAAAAAAAAUUUAGAGGGGGGGGAAAGAAUCAAAAAUAUGGAAUUAUAUACACCCCUGCAAAAAACAUAUUCCAAGUAUUGUUUGGAAUUCCAAAACAUAUUUUAACUUCAAACCUAUUUAAUUUCCAUGUUCGGAAAUUUAAAUAAUAAACUUUUUAUAUUUAAUAUCUGAAUGUUUCAGAUAUUAUGCAUUGCGCGUUUAAGUACUGUAUCCAGGAAACUGUGGAUAGGAUGUUAACCUUCUGCAAUGUUUGAUCCUUGAUCUGAAGUUAUAGCAACUACUGACGAUCUACACCUCUAACUGUACGUUCUUGCAGUCUCUGUAGCACUUUUAGACUGAAGGAACGUGUGACCGGCUAAUCCAGCUCUCAGCUUUAAGUAUUUAGAACCUGAAUUGCAAGGAGAUGAGAUUUCCCUGCAGACCCUUCUAGCGUAUUCGAACUAUACUACGCUCAAUGGAUUAUGUUUACCACAAAUCCAAUACAGGUAUAACAAGGUGAUCUGAAAUCCUGUAUUCCACUAGCAGUACUA